AAACGCGANAGAACUCUUAACCUGGACCUUGUGACAUAGUAAGAACUUUCCAGAGAUGGAUUGGUGCCUUCGGGAACUUACAUACAGGUGCUGCAUGGCUGUCGUCAGCUCGUGUCGUGAGAUGUUGGGUUAAGUCCCGCAACGAGCGCAACCCUUUUCCUUAUUUGCCAGCGAGUAAUGUCGGGAACUUUAAGGAUACUGCCAGUGUACAAACUGGAGGUAAGGUCGGGGUACGACGUCAAGUCAUCAUGGCCCUUACGGCCAGGGCUACUACUACGUGCUACAAUGGUCGGUACAAAGGGUUGCUACACUAGCGUAUGUGAUGCUAAUCUCAAAAAGCCGAUCGUAGUCCGGAUUGGAGUCUGCAACUCGACUCCAUGAAGUCGGAAUCGCUAGUANAUCGCGGAUCAGAAUGCCGCGGUGAAUACGUUCCCGGGCCUUGUACACACCGCCCGUCACACCAUGGGAGUUUGUUGCACCAGAAGUAGCUAGCCUAACUGCAAAGAGGGCGGUUACCACGGUGUGGCCGAUGACUGGGGUGAAGUCGUAANCAAGGUAGCUAUAGGGGANCCUGCGGCUGGAUCACCUCCUAAAUUCUAGAGUGCAUUCGCGAGUACCCGAGC
rnacentral:rRNA from 1 species